AUUGAACGCUGGCGGCACGCCUAACACAUGCAAGUCGAGCGGUAACAUGAACUGUAGCAAUACAGUUUGAUGACGAGCGGCGGACGGGUGAGGAACACGUAGGAACCUGCCCAAGAGAGGGGGACAACCAAGGGAAACUUUGGCUAAUACCGCAUAAUCUCUUAGGAGAAAAGUUGCCCGCAAGGUGGCGCUUUUGGAGGGGCCUGCGUCCGAUUCGUUAGUUGGUGAGGUAAUGGCUCACCAAGACGAUGAUCGGUAACUGGUCUGAGAGGACGACCAGUCACACUGGGACUGAGACACGGCCCAGACUCCUACGGGAGGCAGCAGUGGGGAAUCUUGGACAAUGGGGGCAACCCUGAUCCAGCGAUGCCGCGUGGGUGAAGAAGGCCUUCGGGUUGUAAAGCCCUUUAGGCUGGGAAGAAGGAUGUGAGGUGAAUACCCUCAUAUUUUGACUGUACCAGCAGAAUAAGCACCGGCAAACUCUGUGCCAGCCGCCGCCGUAA
rnacentral:rRNA from 1 species